rnacentral:rRNA from 1 species
GCUAAACGCGAAGAACCUUACCUAGACUUGACAUGUAGUGGACCGCUCCAGAGAUGGGGCUUUCCUUCGGGACCAUUACACAGGUGCUGCAUGGCUGUCGUCAGCUCGUGCCGUGAGGUGUUGGGUUAAGUCCCGCAACGAGCGCAACCCUUGUCGUUAGUUGCCAACAGUUAGGCUGGGAACUCUAACGAGACUGCCAGGGUUAACCAGGAGGAAGGUGAGGAUGACGUCAAGUCAGCAUGGCCCUUAUGUCUAGGGCUACACACGUGCUACAAUGGUCGGUACAGAAGGUAGCGAACUCGAAAGGUCAAGCAAAUCCUAGAAAGCCGAUCCCAGUUCGGAUUGUAGUCUGCAACUCGACCACAUGAAGUUGGAAUUGCUAGUAAUGGCGUGUCAGCAACAACGCCGUGAAUACGUUCCCCGGGUCUUGU